UCUGUGGCUGGAUCAGCCUCAUGUGUCUUCUUCUGGUUGUUGCCAUGGCUAUGGUGUGUUCACUUUGAGACGAUGAAAGCCUUGGAUGCGUGCUACGAUUUUUCAUGUUUUAGAUGAAUCAAAUACUGUUGAUCCAGCCUACAAUCGCAGCUUCUUGCUACUGCGCUACACAACAGAUUUUUGGAUGAUUUCCUUUUUGGUUUUGGAUCGUCGUCGAAGACGAGCUCCUAAGGUAUGGCGUCUCCGGUUUCCAUCGUCGAAGGGAAGAUCAAAGAAGCCCAAGAAGCACUAGUCAACAACGGAUGCCAAGGAGCAGCAGACUCUGCUGGAAAAAGGGAGCCAGCUGGGAAAGUACAAGCUGCUGCUGCGCAGGAAGAAGCUUCUCUUAUUGAAGGAGAUGGAACUGGAGAAGGAGCUAUCGAAGCUCAUUCCUUGGGGGGGACUGACUCCUGAAUGUGCCCUGUAAGUUUAGUGACAAGAGGGCGAUUUAUAUUCGCCCUUGAAAACCUUGUUUCACAAGGUUUUCAACUCGGAGUACACGUUCACUCACAUCUCUGGCAAUCCGGGCAUCGGCAAGUCAUGUUGUUUGUGGUACUUUGUUUCACGGCUACGCGAGAAGGGUUGUAGUGCAGCUGGUGGCACUAGAACACUCCUACUUCUAUUAUUUCGAUCCUAGUGGCAAGUGUUUCGAGGUACCCGACCAUGACAUGAAGCACAUUUGUGGAGUGGAGUUUGUCUCCUCGUGGUGCCUGAGGUCUUUUAUCAGUCCCAGCUGAAUAAGUGACUGGAGCUCGUCAGCAAAACCAAGUUCAUUCCAACACUUGCUGCAGCCGCUAGAGGUGUCUUUGACGACUUCGCUCAUUCCAUUCUAAGUAGAGGAGGGAAGUUCCCGUUGGCCGAUGGUAGCACGAUCACCCUUCCACCAGCAAGAAUCAAGCAUCACUAUGGCAACAGCUUCCCUUUUACCACCAUGGACAUGGACAAGUAUGUUCUUACUCCGAGCCAGAACUAUCCCCUCGUGGAUGCGUUUGGUGGUGAGUUUGAGUAUCUGCUUCAAGUAACUUCCUCCAAGAACUGCUUUGUGGGAAGGAGCCUAUCUUCCUAGUAGUCACUCCAGAAGGCAGCUCUCAGAUGCCGUAUAUCAAGCUCAAGGUACCUUUGAAGGAUGAAAGUGGGAAUGUUUUGCGUACACCUAAAGGGCGGGUCUCUUAUUCAACGGAGAACUUGGAAGCAUUGGCAUCAUCUGGUUCUCCCUCGACCUGAGACAGCAGAUGCUGUUCAUCAUUAUCGCCUGAAGUUGGAGGAGGUGAUGGAAGAUAUGGGGCUUGCUGCAGAGCAGGGGCAACCAGUAUUUGGAGAAGAGGAAGGAGCCUGUCUAAAAUGUGGGCAGUCUGAAGGGUGUGAUGUGUGCCAGAGUUGGUAUCACUUGUCAAUAUUUGUUUAUCAAAAAAAUUUGAGUUGUUCUGGUUUA